CGAAUUCUCAACCACGUUCCGGCGUGGCUUGGACUUGGGAGCUGCUGGCGUCGAGAGACGUCGGCUCUCCUCAAACGCAUUAGCGGACCCAGCGGGUCCGGACGUGCACGGCCUAGCGUCGACGUGAUAACACACCAUCAUCGUCGUCCGGGCUGGAGCGUUCCGGUCCUGCCUCCGCUUCCAACCCUAGCGAAGGGGCCAGCUCAGCUACUAGCCUCCCCUGGCGAACGCGAGCCGGCCUCCGACCACCAUCUCGAACCCC
rnacentral:misc_RNA from 1 species